ACAUCCAGGAGCCCCAGUGCCGGGAGCUUUUAAUGUGUUUGUUGUAAAACUGUCAGCCUGGGAGUCACAACACAGCUCACAGUGACGGGAGCCUGCCUGUGACUCAGACAUCAGCAGUGUCAAGAGAAGUCUCCACCCCCUUCUAACCAGAUUGUCUGAAGUCUUCGCUCUAUGGAUGGAGAUGAGCAGGUCAAGGAUGCAUGCUGUCAACGUGGCCUAUCACUACGGACGCUGACCUUGGCUUGGGAUUCUUCUGUCCAGGCGAGGCAAGUGACCCACUUAUCUGCGGUUCAACUCUGCCUCCGUGUUGAGCAAGCCACUGUGGUCUAGAUGUAAUCGUGGGUUCCAGGCAAACCGGGGAAAAACAGAAAUGCCACAAGGCCCAAGGUACCGCCUGAUGACCGAUAGAUGGAACCUUACAAAAGAGAAAGAGAAAAAAAGAGAGAGAUGAAAAAAACAACCAGCACCCUAAUAAAAGCAACUUCCUGUGGAGGGGAGCUGUCACUCUGCUUAGAAACUGUGCAGAAUUUUCUCUUGGAAACCUUCAGGCAGCUGCUCUAGUUUAUAAAAUCUGCCUAUUGGAAGGAAGGAGAAGGGGGAAAACGGUUGUCGUUAUUCCAGCAACAGAGAUUCUCCCAAACCAUGUGCAAAAAUAAAUCCCUGGAGACCGAGCUGUCUCCGGGGAAACCUGGCCUCGGGGCAGGAGCCUGUGUCCUCCGGCCCCAGACCCUUCUCCAGGGGGACCAAGAACCCAGAAAGAGAGCCCCACCUUGCCGGCACCGCCCCCCCCUCCCCCACUUUCCCCCUUUUCUGGAAUGAAGAUUGGUGUCUGGCGUCACCUCUCACAUGGGAGGGUUUGUUCUUACCCGGGGCAGUGCACACCCAUGGGCCUGCAGGAAGGCCUUUGACCCAGAAACAGCUGUUUGAGGACAAAAGGUCACUAAAGGGGAAGGGAGGUCAGGAAGAACAGGCUGAAGGGGAGAGCUGGACCCGGGAAAUGUGCCAUGGGAAACCCUAACGGAGUGGUGAUGGGGGUGGGGUGGGUGGGGGGCCGACAGUGAGGACAGGAAGUCGCUAAGGAAAGGGGUGUCCUGUAAGGCAGAAAGUGGGUGGCUAAGGUAUGAAAGAGUUUGGUUGGGAAGGGUGUUUGGGAAGAGGAA